CAGCAGCCGCGGUAAUACGAAGGGGGCUAGCGUUGUUCGGAACUACUGGGCGUAAAGGGCGCGUAGGCGGCCAUUCAAGUUAGAUGUGAAAGCCCUGGGCUCAACCUAGGAAUUGCAUUUGAUACUGUUUGGCUUGAGUUCGGGAGAGGUGAGUGGAAUUCCCAGUGUAGAGGUGAAAUUCGUAGAUAUUGGGAAGAACACCAGUGGCGAAGGCGGCUCACUGGACCGACACUGACGCUGAGGCGCGAAAGCGUGGGGAGCAAACGGGAUUAGAUACCCCGGUAGUCCCUGUCUCUUAUAC
rnacentral:rRNA from 1 species